UGACUUCAGUGACAUACAAUUUGGAGAGGCAAACUUCGAAGUUACUGUUAUGUCAUCGUUAUUUAAAUGGAAACAAAAUAAAGCCAAUGAUAAAAUCGAUUGUGUCGAUGAUCGAUUUGUAUACUCAAAUCAUAGCAAUGUAUCUAGCGAAAAUGCAUGUAAAUCGAUGUGUUUUUAAGACAAUAGUACAUGGAAGACAUAGAAAACAUACAAUGCAAUUACGUGUAAUUGAUCACGUUUCAUUUUAAGGGGAUGUCAUGUAUAUGCGUAGUCGUAAAACAGUGCCUGCAUUCGUUUUAUCAUUUGUCUCACAUUUCCACGAAGCAUAUCGAAAAACAUUGUGUUAACAUUAUAUAUAUUUACUGUAUACAAUAUAAUCAUACUAUGAUUCGAAUUAAUAUAGUCGAAUUAAAAGAAAAUGG